GACGAACGCUGGCGGCGUGCCUAAUACAUGCAAGUCGAGCGGGCCUCCGGAGGUGCUUGCACCUCCGGACGGCCAGCGGCGGACGGGUGAGUAACACGUGGGCAACCUGCCUUUGAGGCCGGGAUAACACCGGGAAACCGGUGCUAAUACCGGAUACGUCCUCUUUCGCGCCUGCGAGAGGGGAGAAAGACGGUCUUUAAGGCCGUCGCUCAAAGAGGGGCCCGCGGCGCAUUAGCUGGUUGGUGGGGGAAGGGCCUACCAAGGCGACGAUGCGUUGCCGACCUGAGAGGGUGAUCGGCCACACGGGGACUGAGACACGGCCCAGACGCCUGCGGGAGGCAGCAGUAGGGAAUCAUCCGCAAUGGGCGAAAGCCUGACGGGGCAACGCCGCGUGAGUGAGGAAGGUUUUCGGAUCGUAAAGCUCUGUUGUGAGGGAAGAACAGCAUCCGGAGGAAAUGCCGGAGGUUUGCCGGUACCUCACCAGAAAGCCCCGGCUAACUACGUGCCAGCCGCCGCGGUAACAC
rnacentral:rRNA from 1 species